rnacentral:lncRNA from 1 species
GGGAGGAAGAAGAACAGUGAAGUAAAAAAAAAAAUCCCGUAACACUGUUCAUAUGAACAGUGUUUUUACGUAACACUAUUCAUAUGAACAGUGUUUUCACGGAACACUGUUCAUAUGAACAGUAUCAUCUCGGAACACUGUCCAUAUGAACAGUGAUUUCAGCAUGAAUAGUAAUUUCAGGAAUGAAUAUUAUUUUUAGCUAUUCUUCAUGGGAUUGGAGAUUAAAAAGUUCUUUUUUUCUUUGUGAUGAAGUGAGAGUGGGAAUCUCUAUUUCGGAAGAGUGCGGAUGCUAAUCCAGAAAGGAGGGAACGCGAGGAUCACUGGGAGAUCGCACGCGGGUUCGGAUGUUUGGUUGCAAAUGUGCUUGAUCAGAUCAUGACAGGAUUGGGCCCGCGCGGUUUGGGGCUAUGAUGCAUCCCUCUAAACCCUACCAAAUGCGCAUUUAAACUUUAAUUUAUACUAACCUGUGUCAAACCCAAAUAUAAUAUUAUUUAAGUGAAUUUAUUAUUAUCGGUUAGCAAAAACACUAAUUUUGGUGACAUGUAGGUCGCACUUUUGUGCUCUCAUCA